rfam:Schistosoma mattheei strain Denwood, Zambia genome assembly, scaffold: SMTD_scaffold0002873
AUCCAGCUGACGGGUCCAAAACAGGACGAAACAUGCAUUCUGGAU